rnacentral:rRNA from 1 species
UACGUAGGGGGCAAGCGUUGUCCGGAUUUAUUGGGCGUAAAGAGCGUGUAGGCGGCUUUGCAAGUCCGUUGUGAAAACUCGAGCUCAACCUCGAGACGCCGGUGGAAACUGCAAAGCUAGAGUCCGGAAGAGGAGAGUGGAAUUCCUGGUGUAGCGGUGAAAUGCGCAGAUAUCAGGAAGAACACCCGUGGCGAAGGCGGCUCUCUGGGACGGUACUGACGCUGAGACGCGAAAAGCGUGGGGAGCGAACAGG